UUUUUUUGGACAGUGACUUCUCACCAAAGAUCAAAUCUGGUGUGCAUAAUAAACUUGCCCUGCGAUGGAAUGUUUAGAUUGCCUGAGCAAACUCGGCUCUCAACACCCUUUGUUUUUGCUCCUCGGUUGCUGCAUCGGUUACAUGAGUGGCAGUGGUCGCUGCUCCACAUGAGGUGGGAUCGGUCCCUCCUCGCCCCGUUGAAGAAGCUGUGGUCAUGUCUGCAUUUGGCCACGAAGAAGAGAAGAAGAGGGAUAUACAUUCUGUACGACGACGUUAAAUCGUGCCCGUGCGAGGAUGUUCACGUCCUCUGGUCCAUCCUUGUAGAAGAAUCACAUUCCACACUGCCAUCAGAACACAGAAGAAGGCAAACAGCUCUGGGAGUUUAUUCAAGAGAUUAAUUACAACAUGCACAAACAAUAUUUAUUAUGUCUCAUGCUUGUUUGAAGUAUUCACACAUUUGUUUUCUUCUUCUCUUUCCCUUUCUUUCCCACCCCUUUAAUCUUCAAGUUCUCUACUACUUUCCCUUUCCUUUUCACUUGAGCUUCAAGUUGUGCAACCAAUCUGAAGAAGCACUUAAAACUAAUUAAGAGACGGUGGAGUU